UGGUGUUGUUCUCACUCUUCUCCCUGAGCAGGGUGGGCGGUUAUCUGAGAUGGGCACACAGACAGCUCUGUCUCCUACUAGGCAUGCCCAUGGUCUUGCACUGCUUUCUCUAGAUUGGGAGUGGGGGGCAUGGCUGAAAACUCGGGACAUCUGUGACUGUAGCAAUUCAGCUCUACUAGCAAGCUUCCUACCUUUUGCCUUCCAGGAGGCCCCAUGAAGUUCAAGAGCCACAGGACUUUCUGGCUAUGAGCCCCCCAGUGAAGCUGAGAGGAGUCUCCAGAAUCUUCCUCUUUAGAGGCCUGGGCAGGGAGGAAUGGCCCUGUCACCAGGGGGCCAGCCCUCCACCCCCCAGGCCCCUCCCGUGGGGAAGAAGGCCUGGACGUUCUCAGCACCAUUUCUUGGAAGGAGAUACUGGCUCAGGAUCAGAAGUUCUGGAAUUCACUACCGGAAGUGGCCCUCUGAACAAUGGGAAAAGAUCCCUGACUGAAGAGCCAAGACCUUCAGGCUCUGAUGCCCACUCCAGCAACUACAGGCAUAGGAUUCAGGAGCGGAUUGCUCCGGGUUCAACUCCGGCUCUGCUGCUUCAGCGCGCUCCAGAUUUCUGGCAAGUCAUUCCUCUCGCUGAGCCCCGGUUUCCUCUUUUUAAGAAGGGAUUAUAGUAUCUGCCUCAGCAGAUUCCUCUGAGGAUUAUAUGAGGAACCAGAUAUCCAGCCGGUAUGCAAAGAUUCUAACUUACUGCUUUGUAAGUCUCUGGGUGCUUAGAGUCCCCUGAGUUUCCCUCCCACCCAAAACAUGGCACCCCCACCACGAUUCAGCAACGGAAGGGUUAACUUCCAGCUCCAUAGAGGAUCUCCAGGAUCCUGGCAACACUUCUGAUGGGUUGGUCCCCAUAUUAAACUAAGGGGUGUGAGAAAAACUUUAUAAACUGCCAGGCGCUGGGUAACUCCGAGAUCUACACCUUCAUUUUAGAUACGCUUCCUGAUCAUGCGUAGUCCUGCCUCCUGGACCCCCAUCUGGAUGCCCCGUGGGCGUGGCGUGCUCUCUACUCUCAGAAUGAACCGCGUCCCACUAAACUCAGCACAGGAGUUGGCUUUACCUCAGCCCAGCUGCUCCGCAUCUCUUCUGUACCCAGUCUGUGCCAGUCUGCGAUUCUGUGUCCCCUCAGUCCCGAGCUCCAUCCCUCCUUCCUGCCCCCACCCACCUCCCGCCGUCCUCCGUCCUCGGUCCUCGGCUCAAUCAGAACAGCCUCCUCACUGGUCUCUGCCCUCGGACCUCUCCUGGCAUUUCAUUCUCACACAGUGACAUCCCUUGGUGAUGACUGUCACAGGUCAGGCUCCUGGGGCAGGAGAUUCUGUGAUGAAAAUGGGCUGACAGGAGGCUUAUUGGGGAUCUAUCUCAAGUUCAACAUCUGUGGGGGAAUAACUGAAGCAGGACUGGGCAGAGGAACAAGUUGGGCUGUGAGGCAGACCCCACCACAGGGGGGGGGGGGGUCUUCCCCUCUUGGGAAGCUGUGCAGUUGGAAAAAUUUUUCACAGUGGGACCAAAUUGAGGCAUGGGGGCUGGGCAGUAAACCCCACUAUGGACCAGACCCAGUAGAGGCGGGCCAGUCCCAGGAAGGGGAGUGACAUUAGAUGAGGGGGGUCUUUUCAGCCUAAGGCAGAGGCAGAGAGGAGAGUCUUGGGCUGUGAGCUGUCAGCCUCCAGAAGGGUGGGUGCUCCGGUCUGAGGAGGGAGACCCGGGCAUCCCAGGAGCGCACACGGUGCCCACGAACAGCGCUCUGGGUGGAGUAGAUGCUCAGGAACGUUUGUUGCGUCAUGAAAAG
ensembl:lincRNA